AGUGACGCAGGGCAGAAGGGCGGGGCGCAAGAGAGACUGAGAGCACUACGCGGGGCUCCCUAAUGACAUUGCCCCGCGGUUUUCAAGACUGACUUCAGGAUCAUCUGGGAGAGGUUGAAAGGCACAUGCAGUGUUCACCGCCUUGAACUGAAGAUCACUGAACAUGGCUUUGGUGGAAACCACUGCAGUGAUAUCAGAAAGGAAAAAAGCAAACUUCCCUGACCGGGAAUCGAACCCGGGCCGCGGCGGUGAAAGCGCCGAAUCCUAGCCACUAGACCACCAGGGAGGGCUGGUGACACUGUGGGCAGCACCUUCUGAGAAAAGAUCUUAGGACAGACGCCUCAACCACCUCAGGCACAUGUUAGAAACCUAUAGGAAUGUCUUUUUCUCCCUCUCCCUCUCCCCACGGUCUCCCUCUCCCUCUCUCCACGGUCUCCCUCUGAUGCGGAGCUGAAGCUGGACGGUACUGCUGCCUGAUUCUCCUGCCUCAGCCUGCCGACUGCCUGCGAUUGCAGGCGCGCGCCGCCACGCCUGACUGGUUUUCGUAUUUUUUUGGUGGAGACGGGGUUUCGCUGUGUUGGCCGGGCUGGUCUCCAGCUCCUAACCGCGAGUGAUCCACCAGCCUCGGCAUCCUGAGGUGCCGGGAUUGCAGACGGAGUCUCGUUCACUCCGUGCUCAAUGGUGCCCAGGCUGGAGUGCAGUGGCGUGAUCUCGGCUCGCUACAACCUUCACCUCCCAGCAGCCUGCCUUGGCCUCCCAAAGUGCCGAGAUUGCAGCCUCUGCCCGGCCGCCACCCCGUCUGGGAAGUGAGGAGCGUCUCUGCCCGGCCGCCCAUCGUCUGGGAUGUGAGGAGCCCCUCUGCCUGGCUGCCCAGUCUGGAAAGUGAGGAGCGUCUCUGCCCGGCCGCCCGUCGUCUGGGAUGUGAGGAGCCCCUCUGCCUGGCUGCCCAGUCUGGAAAGUGAGGAGCGUCUCUGCCCGGCCGCCAUCCCAUCUAGGAAGUGAGGAGCGCCUCUUCCCGGCCGCCAUCCCAUCUGGGAAGUGAGGAGAGUCUCUGCCCGGCCGCCCAUCGUCUGAGAUGUGGGGAGCACCUCUGCCCUGCCGCCCCGUCCGGGAUGUGAGGAGCGUCUCUGCCCGGCCGCCCCGUCUGAGAAGUGAGGAGACCCUCUGCCUGGCAACCGCCCCGUCUGAGAAGUGAGGAGCCCCUCCGCCCGGCAACCACCCCGUCUGAGAAGUGAGGAGCCCCUCCGCCCGGCAGCCGCGCCGUCUGAGAAGUGAGAAGCCCCUCCGCCCAGCAGCCACCCCGUCUGGGAAGUGAGGAGCGUCUCUGCCCGGCCGCCCCUACUGGGAAGUGAGGAGCCCCUCUGCCCGGCCAGCCGCUCCGUCCAGGAGGGAGGUGGGGGGGUCAGCCCCCCGCCCGGCCAGCCGCCCCGUCCGGGAGGGAGGUGGGGGGGGUCAGCCCCCCGCCCAGCCAGCCGCCCCGUCCGGGAGGGAGGUGGGGGGGGUCAGCCCCCCACCUGGCCAGCCGCCCCGUCCGGGAGGUGAGGGGCGCCUCUGCCCGGCCGCCCCUACUGGGAAGUGAGGAGCCCCUCUGCCUGGCCGGCCGCCCCGUCCGGGAGGGAGGUGGGGGGGUCAGCCCCCCACCCGGCCAGCCGCCCCGUCCGGGAGGUGAGGGGCGCCUCUGCCCGGCCGCCCCUACUGGGAAGUGAGGAGCCCCUCUGCCCGGCCAGCCGCUCCGUCCAGGAGGGAGGUGGGGGGGUCAGCCCCCGCCCGGCCAGCCGCCCCGUCCGGGAGGGAGGUGGGGGGGUCAGCCCCCCACCCGGCCAGCCGCCCCGUCCGGGAGGUGAGGGGCGCCUCUGCCCGGCCGCCCCUACUGGGAAGUGAGGAGCCCCUCUGCCCGGCCACCACCCCGUCUGGGAGGUGUACCCAACAGCUCAUUGAGAACGGGCCAUGAUGACAAUGGCGGUUUUGUGGAAUAGAAAGGGGGGAAAGGUGGGGAAAAGAUUGAGAAAUCGGAUGGUUGCCGUGUCUGUGUAGAAAGAGGUAGACGUGGGAGACUUUUCAUUUUGUUCUGUACUAAGAAAAAUUCUUCUGCCUUGGGAUGCUGUUGAUCUGUGACCUUACCCCCAACCCUGUGCUAUCUGAAACAUGUGCUGUAUCCACUCAGGGUUGAAUGGAUUAAGGGCGGUGCAAGAUGUGCUUUGUUAAACAGAUGCUUGAAGGCAGCAUGCUCCUUAAGAGUCAUCACCACUCCCUAAUCUCAAGUACCCAGGGACACAAACACUGCGGAAGGCCGCAGGGUCCUCUGCCUAGGAAAACCAGAGACCUUUGUUCACUUGUUUAUCUGCUGACCUUCCCUCCACUAUUGUCCUGUGACCUUGCCAAAUCCCCCUCUGCGAGAAACACCCAAGAAUGAUCAAUUAAAAAAAAAAAAAAAAGAAACCUAUAGGAAUGUCUUUAAGAAUAUUUUGCAAUGAUGUGUAUAGUACUGGAUGCAGUGACUGCUGCCUGGGCCAGAGGGUGGCAGAAGGCUUUAGGGGCAGAAACGUUGGAAGAAAGAUUGUCAUAAGUCAAGCUGGGGAAGAGAAAAAUAUUUCCCAAAUCAUUUUUGUCACGGACUCCCUCUGACAUGGGAGUUUCUCAUCUCCCUUCCUGCCUCCCUCCCUUUUUCUUUCUUCCUCCUAAAAUCUGCAUCUCCUUCACUUAUAUAGUUUCCCCACGGUUGAUUGAGAAAAAAUGUGUCUUUUUGCCCCCCUCCCCAAAGGAUCCUAUUCCUGAUCUCUAAAUAUGCCCCUCACCAGUGCAGAGGGAGGAGCAGUCAGAGCCUGGGAGACUUGCCUACCUGGAGCUGCACCCAUCUUUGAGGCCUUGCUCUGUUUCCUGGAACCUGAAAUGGAUUUACCUAUUCUACACAUUUCAUAGAAAUGAAAUCACAUAAUGUGUCACAUUUUGUCUGGCUUCUCUCACUUGGCAUAAUAUUUUUGGGUUCAUUCAUGUCAUAGUAUGUACUUCAUUUCUUCUUAUGGCUAAAUAACAUUUUAUGUAUAUACCACAUUUCCUUUAUCCAUUCAUCUGUUGAUGGGCAUUUUGGUUGUUUCCACCUUUUGGCUGUUGUGAAUAAUGCUGCUAUGAACAUUUAUGUACAAGCAUUUGUUUGAGCAUCUGUUUUUUAUUUUUUGGGGUUAUCUAUUUAGUAGUGGAAUUACUAAGUCACUUAUAUUCCCACCAGCAUAGGUAAAUCUAUAGGAACAGAAAGCAGAGUAAUGGCUGCCAGGGGCUGGGGAAUGUGGAGUAAUCACAUAAUGAUAUGGGGUUUUACUUUCUUUUGAUGAAAAUGUUUUGGAACUAGAUUGAGAUGGUGGUUGCAUAACCGUGUGAACAUACUUAAUGCCACUGAAUUUGUUUAAGAUGGCUUCAUUUUUCUUCACAUUUCUGCCUAUGCUUUAUAUUUUCUGUUGUUUUAAAAAUUAUAGCCAUCCUAGUGGGUGUGAAGAUACCACUACACAUAAAUUAGAAUGUCUAAAAUUAAAGAGACAGACUAUAUGCAGUGGACUGAAUGUUUGCACACACACCCCAAGUUCAUAUGUUAAAAUUCUAACUCCCAAGGUUAUGAUAUUAUGAGGUGGGGCUUUGGGGAGAUAAUUAGGUCAUGAAGGUGGAGCCUUCAUUAAUAGGAUUAGUGUCCUUAUAAAAGAGACCCUCACCAUGUGAGGCUUCUUAAAAGACUGCUUUCUGUGAGAAAACAGGCCCUCACCAGAAACCACAUGUGCAAGCACCUUGAUCUUGGACCUCCCAACUUCCAGAACCAUGAGAAAUAAUUUUUGUUGCUUAUAAGCCACCCAGUCUAUGGCAUUUUGUUAUAGCACCUGAAUGGACUGAGAGAUCAUACGAAACAAAAAAGAGGACAUGCUGUAUGAUUUCAUUUACAUAAAACUCUAGGCAAUGCCAACUUAUCUAUAUUGACAAA
rnacentral:tRNA from 1 species